CUUCUCCUUAUCUCAUCUUUUUGGUUGCACCAGAUAGAAAGUCCAGCCGUCUUUCUCUACUCCUUUUUCUUUAUUUUGUUUUUCUUCUCUCUUUGCUCUUACACAGCAGCAUUCCCUCUCUCACCAAAACAAAAUAUCCCUCUCUAAAGAAGAAAUUAAAAGGUUAACACUAAAAUUUCAGCUUCAAAGUUUGGGGGUGUUACCAGUUCCCCGGGUCUAAGCUCCUUCGACUGUAGGCUCUCGGUUACUCUACUUUCAGUUAGCAGGUUUUAUGUUGGAGUAGAGGGAGCCUUAGUCGAGUUUUGGAAUGAGCUAAUUUUAGUUUUAUAUGUAUAGAUCCUAAACUAGCAAUUUGAUGUUUAGAUUUGUAGUAUGGUGUAUUUUAAGAUAUAAUGAAAGUGUGUACCUUAAAGUAUUAAGAGAUGUAUUAUGUGAAAUUUAGAAUUUGAAUAAUUGGUGGAUUGUGUUAUCCUUUGAGGUACAAUGUAGAUGCUCUAAAUAUCAAGUGGAAAGUUAUAUCAUUUAAGUAAAGAAACAAGAAUGAAAAGAAAGAGGGAAGCUUUUGUAAAGGUUUUGGAAAAAGUUA